rnacentral:rRNA from 1 species
GACGAACGCUGGCGGCGUGCCUAAUACAUGCAAGUAGAACGCAGUUUCGAACGGGUGAGUAACGCGUAGGUAACUGCCUCAUAGCGGGGGAUAACUAUUGGAAACGAUAGCUAAUACCGCAUACUGUGAGAUGGACCUGCGUUGUAUUAGGUAGUUGGUGCGGUAAAGGCGCACCAAGGCGACGAUACAUAGCCGACUUGAGAGGGUGAUCGGCCACACGUGGACUGAGACACGGCCCAGGAUCCCAAGGGAGGCAGCCGUAGGGAAUCUUCGGAAAGGGACGGCAGUCUGACCGAGCAACGCCGCGUUAGUUAAGAAGGUUUUCGGAUCGUAAAGCUCUGUUGUUAGAGAAGCGGUAACUAAACAGAAAGGGACGGCUAACUACGUGCCAGCAGCCGCGGUAAUUC